rnacentral:rRNA from 1 species
GACGAACGCUGGCGGCGCGCCUAACACAUGCAAGUCGAACGAGCAAAGAGGAGCUUGCUUCUCUGAGCGAGUGGCGAACGGGUGAGUAACGCGUGAGGAACCUGCCUCAAAGAGGGGGACAACAGUUGGAAACGACUGCUAAUACCGCAUAAGCCCACGGGUCGGCAUCGACCAGAGGGAAAAGGAGCAAUCCGCUUUGAGAUGGCCUCGCGUCCGAUUAGCUAGUUGGUGAGGUAAUGGCCCACCAAGGCGACGAUCGGUAGCCGGACUGAGAGGUUGAACGGCCACAUUGGGACUGAGACACGGCCCAGACUCCUACGGGAGGCAGCAGUGGGGAAUAUUGCACAAUGGGGGGAAACCCUGAUGCAGCGACGCCGCGUGGAGGAAGAAGGUCUUCGGAUUGUAAACUCCUGUUGUUGAGGAAGAUAAUGACGGUACUCAACAAGGAAGUGACGGCUAACUAACGUG